rnacentral:pre_miRNA from 1 species
ACAACAACAUUCGGACCGUCGGUCUACCGAGCAAUAUCACCCGCUCGGCGGAAGAUCUUCCCUUAGUCGUAUAUU